rnacentral:rRNA from 1 species
UACGAAGGGGGCUAGCGUUGCUCGGAAUCACUGGGCGUAAAGCGCACGUAGGCGGCUUCUUAAGUCAGGGGUGAAAUCCUGGAGCUCAACUCCAGAACUGCCUUUGAUACUGAGAAGCUUGAGUCCGGGAGAGGUGAGUGGAACUGCGAGUGUAGAGGUGAAAUUCGUAGAUAUUCGCAAGAACACCAGUGGCGAAGGCGGCUCACUGGCCCGGUACUGACGCUGAGGUGCGAAAGCGUGG